rnacentral:lncRNA from 1 species
GAGGUCGGCGGCCGGAAGUCAUGGUCCGCAGCCGAAGGCCCUAAUUCCGCGGCAGUUGUGGCGGUUACGGCGGUUCUGUACCCAGCAUACGAAUGGAGGCGGCCCAGGAUCACGGGCCGGGGUUGUGCUGCAAGCCCGGCGGGCGUCUGGACAUGAGCCACGGCUUCGUACACCACAUCCGUCGGAACCAGCUCGAUCGGUACCGCCCCGCCCCAGGCCCGGCCCGGCCCGAUUCGGCCGGGUGACAGCGCCUGACUCCCGCUCGGCUCCCCGCAGGGACGACUACGACAAGAAGGUGAAGCAGGCGGCCAAGGAGAAGGCGAGGAGGCGCCACACGCCCGCGCCCACGCGGCCCCGCAAGCCAGACCUACAAGUGUACCUGCCGCGCCACCGAGGUGAGCCGCCGCCUGUCGCCCGCCCGCCCGCGGUCCCGCCCCCGGGCAAGCCCCUCUCUCUGCGUCAGGGCUCCUGCCCACCUGGCCCUUACAGCAGCCACUGCAUCAAUAGCAGCGCCCCCUGGGCCAGUGACCCCAGUUAAACUGCACUGUUAUAUAAGGUAGCUGGGACCCGGCCAGGAAACGCUGUCCACCAGUGUGAUCUAUCAGGCUGGGUUUUAAUAUUUCUGCCACCUGGAAGAGAAAGUGUGGCAGGGAUUUAAAAAAAAAGAAAAGAAAAGAAAGAUCAGUACAUAAAAUGAAACAAACCCAGUAAAUGGCCUUUUCUUGGGCUUUCUGUGACCAUGAACUCAUGUUGACUAACAUAUGACACUAAGUUUGUGGGCUGUUCUUUACAGAGGGGUUAGAUCUUGAGUACAUUAUUGAGUCCGUAGGACGCUGUUAAGCUGAGGACUCUUAUGUCUGUUUCCCUAGCCAGAGAGGUGAAUAAGGUGUCCAACAUCACAGACCUAGUAAAUGGCAGAGCCUGGAUUUGAACUGAGGCAGAGCUCUGUCCAUCCUUUCAGCAGCUUCCAGUGAUAUUUGCAGGAGACAUAUGCAGCUUAUACUUACUUUUUAACAGAUUGUGCUGGAGUGGAGGGAAGAAGUUAAAAUCCUGAUUGACAGCUACAUACAUAACACACACACACACACAUACACACCCAGGGUCUGUUGGAAGCUUGGAGGCUUUCUUGGUGCUGUUUUUCUGAUCAUUUCUGUGGGCAGGGGUUUUAGCAGCAUACCCCCUCUUCCCUCUCACUCUGGUUUGCCCUUACAGAUGGCUCCACCCACCCCGUGAACCCAGACUGUGAGGAAGCCAGUGAAAGCAGCAGUAGUGGAAGCUCCGAGCUAGAGCCUCCUGGCCGCCAGCUCUUCUGUUUAGACUAUGAGGCGGACAGUGGCGAGGUCACUUCAGUUAUUGUCUAUCAGGUACGCCUUUUGGAAACAGCUGCAGCGUGACCGUCCUGGGCCAUGACGGAAACUACCACCAGUUCCUGAACCGCUGUUAAUCUCAGGGCCAGUGGGAAAAUAUGUCUUCCCAGCAGAUAGUCUCAGCACAUAGAGAUUCCUAGUUGGGGGAACAGGGAAAACUUGUGACCCUCAGUUGAGAAUCACUGUUACAGGGGACUCCUGAGAAACAGAAGCCUUAAGCCAAACAGUUCUGUGAGCGUGCUGUCUAGGAACAGAGCAGCACUUGUUUGAGGGAGAACCAGGCUCUGAGCUUCCUGACUCUUCCUCCACGUAGGACGAUGAUCCUGGAAGGGUGAGUGAGGCAGUAUCAGCACACACACCUCUGGAUCCAGCCAUGCGGGAGGCCCUCAGAUCGCGAAUCCAGGAGGAACUUGCAAAACGCCAGAGCCGGCACUGACGGGGCGGAGGCAGGAUUCACUGCACUUGGCAGAAUUUUGCCCAAGGAGCUCACCCCUAGUUUGGGGGGUGUCAGGAUGAGUCCAUGUGAUCUUCAGGGAGCCUGUCCUCCUUCUCUAAGCUGCUGUAUCCACAAAGGUCUUGCAGGACCACAUCUGACCUGUCUCUCAGCAGCCAUUUUUCUUGUCUCAUUCAUCUAACCUAACAUUCUGGAAUUUUAUGACAGCUUUGGCUAACUUGGUGUUUUGGGAGCAGAGACUUUAGGGAGAGCCAGGCUUUCUGAAGCUUUUGCCUGUGUGGUGCUGUCUUGAUGAGGUCGUUUGUCAGGCCCCUUCAUGUUUCUGCUUUCUUCCACUCAUCUUUGCCUAGGCCUGUUUUCAGCUGUCACUUUUCCUUUCUCCUAUCUUUUUGCCUUAGGUAGAAUCUAUGUCCCCCACCCCCAGCAUGACUGUUUCUCUGCCACUCAGGAAUUUAGCAUGGGACUUCUGGGAGCCUGCCUUCCUAACAAGGUCUCCAAGUACUUCUGAUGCCAAUAAACAGGAGAGCUUUGGUUUUGAGGCCUCUUUGGAAGCACAUGUCCUUCCCCUUUUGUGGCUUGCCCAAGCUCCUCAUAGGCCUCACUGCUUAAAACUGUCUACGUAGGAGACCCAGGAAGAAGAUGCUGAGCUAAGCUGCAGUCCUUAGUUGAAAAACCUGUCCUGCUACUCGUGGUGGCACAUGCCUUUAGUCCCAGUACUCAGGACUCAGGAGGUAGAGAUGGGUAGAUCUCUGUGAGUUCAAAGCCAGCCUGGUCAUAUCAACACAUCUAGUUCCAGGACAGACAGUGGUUGAGAGAGCCUAUCUCAAAACAAAACAAAAAAAGAAGAAGAAGAAGAAGAUGAACCCGCCUUGGCUAGGCUUACCAAAUUCACCAUCUAGCUGUAAAGCAACUACCUUCUGCUCAGACUAAAGGGGAAUUAUCAAAGCAGUCUUAAAAGUAACUCUUCAAUUGUAGUUUAGCAAUCUUGAAUGAAUGAAGUUGAGAGAGUUGACAAUAGCUAUAAUUGUUCUGGGGCAGGAGGGCUCUAGUUGCAAAAAAGAGAGAGUUGUGAAGAACAUCACAGAGGAAGUGAAAUGGCCCUUUCUCUGCCCCAUGCUUUCUUUCCUACCUCCCAAGAAUAUGUCUGAGCCUGAUGAGACACACUUUAACCCCAGCAUGAAAGAGGCCAAAGUAUGAGGACUGCUGCAAGUUAAAGACCAACCUAAGCUGUCUCAAGAAAAAACUAAAUAAAUGUAACUUAGGUCCUUUGGGUAAAGAUCCCCAGACAUAGCAUUUUUCCAACGGGGGACAUGUUUUUCAACACAAGCUUAGGCUAAGGUCUGAAGUCCACAAGACAUCCUGUUCACAGAAUUCAGGUGCACCUACGAUUUCCUGACAUAGGAACCUAACUUCAGCAUCUUGAAACAUGAAUCAUAAAACAGCCUACAAGCCCUGAGACUGCCCACAACCAAACCUCCUACCCCAGGGCUUUGUCUUCUAGGAUUUCAAGAUCAUUCUGACUGUAUGAGUUCAGUAGCUUUCUCUUCAGGGACACUUGCGAUCCCUCCUGUGUUUUAUCCCACUCUGCUGAAAACAUGUAAUAUAGUUGGCCAUCUGCUUUACGCCAUUAAAACAGUGAGUCACAGCUUGCCAUGCCAGAACUCUGGGACUUGAGUUAGGUGGUAAGUUAGAAGGGCCUGGUUCUAGAGGUGGCCGGAGACCUGAAUGCUCUAAACCAGGAGAGCUGGUCUCAGGGUUCAGUGCCUUAAGCAUUGUCAGUCCUAAUCCCAGGAUGCUGUCAAAGGGAAAAGCCUUCAUCCUGUACUUGUGCACUAGUGCUGUAAGUGCCUGUGGACUUACAUGGUUAGAUACCAUCAGAGCCUCCCGGGUGAAGGAGGGUCUGCCAAACUCCAUGCUCUUCAUCCUGCAAGUCACUAUAGUCUCCAGUUAAUCAGUCCAUAUUCUGACUUGAAACACAGGAUUCACUGGAACGCUGGUCGGGACAAAGAACAUUGGAACUUUUUGGGGGUCUGUGUUCUUAGAGCUGUGCUUCCUAUAUCCUGAUUCUGUUAUUGAACC